AAUGGAAAGGGAAAAAAAACCUGGUGUAGCAAUACUUAUUUCUGACAAAAUAGACUUUGAAACAAAGCUGUCGUAAGAGGCAAAAAAGGACAUUACAUAAUGGUAAAGGGACCAAUCCAACAAGAGGAGGUAACCCUAGUAAGCAUUUAUGCACCCAAAAUAAGAGCACCUAAAUAUAUAAAGAAAAUCUUGAUGGAUAUAAAAGGAAAAUGAACAGAAACAGAGUCACAUUU